GACGAACGCUGGCGGCGUGCUUAACACAUGCAAGUCGAACGGAAAGGCCCUGCUUUUGUGGGGUGCUCGAGUGGCGAACGGGUGAGUAACACGUGAGUAACCUGCCCUGGACUUUGGGAUAACUUCAGGAAACUGGGGCUAAUACCGGAUAGGAGCUCCUGCUGCAUGGAGGGGGCUGGAAAGUUUCGGCGGGUGGGGAUGGACUCGCGGCUUAUCAGCUUGUUGGUGGGGUAGUGGCUUACCAAGGCUUUGACGGGUAGCCGGCCUGAGAGGGUGGCCGGCCACAUUGGGCCUGCGAGACGGCCCAGACUCCUACGGUAGGCAGCAGGCGGGAAUCUUGCACAAUGGGCGCACGCCUGAUGCAGCAACGCCGCGUGCGGGAUGACGGCCUUCGGGUUGUAAACCGCUUUCGCCUGUUACGAAGCGUGAGUGACGGUACUGUGUAAAUAAGCACCGGCUAACUACGUG
rnacentral:rRNA from 1 species